CGCUUAAAUGACACUUCUACCCUUAAUGAAUCUCUUUCAUAUAUAUAUAUAUAUCCUUUUUUAAAUCAAAAUCUCACUUUACUCUCUUCUUUCUAAUUUCUUCAACAGCUUUUUGCCAUUUUCCUCUCUUUCUUCACAAUUUCUUGAACAAUUUUACCUUUGAUUCGAAGGAUGAAAUGUGGGAACUUAGGUUAGGAUUUUGUAGAGAAGAAAGAGGAAAACGUUGUUCUCCGUUAUAAGCAUAGGGUCAGAGUUGUUAAUUGAUAUUUAUUUUGUUUUUAUUUUCAGUUUUUUAAUUGAAAAAUUCACGUGUAUUUAUUUUAAUUAGUUGGCAGCCAUGUAGAAGCAUUUGUAUAUCACGCACUUUGCCUGGGAUAUACAAGUGUUUAAUUGUUUAAAUUUGUGAUAGUUAAAGUGCCUACUUGUGCAUUGGCAAAGUUUAGGGUCAUAGUUGUGAAUUGAUGUCAAGUUAAAGGUCUUCUUUAUGUAUUAUGCC
rnacentral:lncRNA from 1 species